rnacentral:rRNA from 1 species
GGAGCUUGCUCCAUGAUUCAGCGGCGGACGGGUGAGUAAUGCCUAGGAAUCUGCCUGGUAGUGGGGGACAACGUUUCGAAAGGAACGCUAAUACCGCAUACGUCCUACGGGAGAAAGCAGGGGACCUUCGGGCCUUGCGCUAUCAGAUGAGCCUAGGUCGGAUUAGCUAGUUGGUGAGGUAAAGGCUCACCAAGGCGACGAUCCGUAACUGGUCUGAGAGGAUGAUCAGUCACACUGGAACUGAGACACGGUCCAGACUCCUACGGGAGGCAGCAGUGGGGAAUAUUGGACAAUGGGCGAAAGCCUGAUCCAGCCAUGCCGCGUGUGUGAAGAAGGUCUUCGGAUUGUAAAGCACUUUAAGUUGGGAGGAAGGGCAGUAAGUUAAUACCUUGCUGUUUUGACGUUACCGACAGAAUAAGCACCGGCUAACUUCGUGCCAGCAGCCGCGGUAAUACGA